rnacentral:misc_RNA from 1 species
UUUCCGCAGGUGAACCUGCGGAAGGAUCAUUACUGAGUGAGGGCCCCUCGGGGUCCAACCUCCCACCCGUGUUUAACGAACCUUGUUGCUUCGGCGGUCCCGCCUCACGGCCGCCGGGAGGCAUCUGCCCCCGGGCCCGCGCCCGCCGAAGCCACCUGUGAACGCUGUCUGAAGUAUGCAGUCUGAGACAAUUAUUAAAUUAAUUAAAACUUUCAACAACGGAUCUCUUGGUUCCG